AUUGAACGCUGGCGAAAUGCUUUACACAUGCAAGUCGAACGGCAGCACGGACUUCGGUCUGGUGGCGAGUGGCGAACGGGUGAGUAAUGUAUCGGAACGUGCCCAGUCGUGGGGGAUAACGUAGUGAAAAUUACGCUAAUACCGCAUACGAUCUAUGGAUGAAAGCGGGGGAUCGCAAGACCUCGCGCGAUUGGAGCGGCCGAUAUCAGAUUAGGUAGUUGGUGGGGUAAAGGCCCACCAAGCCAACGAUCUGUAGCUGGUCUGAGAGGACGACCAGCCACACUGGAACUGAGACACGGUCCAGACUCCUACGGGAGGCAGCAGUGGGGAAUUUUGGACAAUGGGCGAAAGCCUGAUCCAGCCAUUCCGCGUGCAGGACGAAGGCCCUCGGGUUGUAAACUGCUUUUGUACAGAACGAAAAGGUUUCUACUAAUACUAGGAGCUCAUGACGGUACUGUAAGAAUAAGCACCGGCUAACUACGUGCCAGCCGCCGCAGUAA
rnacentral:rRNA from 1 species